AACGCACAUUGCGCUUCUAGGAUCUCCUAGUAGCAUGCUUGUUGGAGCGCCGAACUUUCUCUCUAAUCUACUUCUUGUGGAUUACGAGGUGUUGCUCCUUAUUGGAGUCAAAGAAAUGGAACAGCACACGUUAAUAACUCUGUGCAGUAAUAUUUUUUAUGGCCCCCAAUCAAGCAAGAUUACCCUCCGAACUUAA
rnacentral:misc_RNA from 1 species